rnacentral:rRNA from 1 species
GAUCAUGGCGUCAGGAUGAACGCUGGCGGCGUGCUUAACACAUGCAAGCCGAACGAGGGUUGCUGGUUGAAGUUUCGGAUGGAACCGGUAAUUCCUAGUGGCGGACGGGUGAGUAACGCGUGGGGAACCUGCCCCGCUCCGGGGGAUACCAGCUGGAAACGGCUGUUAAUACCGCAUAAGCGCACAGUAUCGCAUGAUGCAGUGUGAAAAACUCCGGUGGAACGGGAUGGCCCCGCGUCUGAUUAGCCAGUUGGCAGGGUAACGGCCUACCAAAGCGACGAUCAGUAGCCGGCCUGAGAGGGCGACCGGCCACAUUGGGACUGAGACACGGCCCAAACUCCUACGGGAGGCAGCAGUGGGGAAUAUUGCACAAUGGGGGAAACCCUGAUGCAGCCGACGCCGCGUGAGUGAGGAAGUAUUUCGGUAUGUAAAGCUCUAUCAGCAGGGAAGAAGAUGACGGUACCUGCACAAGAAGCCCCGGCUAACUACGUGCCAGCCGCCGC